rnacentral:rRNA from 1 species
UACGUAGGGGGCUAGCGUUGUCCGGAAUCAUUGGGCGUAAAGCGCGUGUAGGCGGUCCGGUAAGUCCGCUGUGAAAGUCGAGGGCUCAACCCUCGAAUGCCGGUGGAUACUGUCGGGCUAGAGUGCGGAAGAGGCGAGUGGAAUUCCUGGUGUAGCGGUGAAAUGCGCAGGUAUCAGGAGGAACACCGAUUGCGAAGGCAGCUCGCUGGGACGUAACUGACGCUGAGACGCGAAAGCGUGGGGAGCAAACAGG